rnacentral:rRNA from 1 species
ACAACCGGUAGCGAUGGAUCCCUUGGCACGUCAUUCGAUGAAGACCGUUGCAAAUUGCGAUAAAGUGAUGUGAUGCGCAAGUCCACCACUUAUACGUGAAUCAUCGAGUUGUUGAACGCAUUGCACCGCGCCCUAAUCCGGCUGCGGUAUGCCCCUUUGAGCGUCAUUGUAUUCCUUCGGGAG